UACGGAGGGUGCGAGCGUUGUCCGGAUUUAUUGGGUUUAAAGGGUGCGUAGGUGGCUUUAUAAGUCAGUGGUGAAAUACAGCCGCUUAACGGUUGAGGUGCCAUUGAUACUGUAGAGCUUGAAACAAUUGGAGGCUGCCGGAAUGGAUGGUGUAGCGGUGAAAAUGCAUAGAUAUCAUCCAGAACACCGAUUGCGAAGGCAGGUGGCUACGUUUUGAUUUGACACUGAGGCACGAAAGCAUGGGGGAGCAAACAGG
rnacentral:rRNA from 1 species